ACAAUUAUUUCCAUCCAAUCAACCAACAAAAACAGUCAACUACUUCCUUCCCGUAAAGAUCCGUGAUUCUAACCAAUAGGGAAACGGCAUGUUCUUUCUCACCAAUCACAGUGCCCCCAUGUUUCCCUGUAGCCAAUCACCUGUCGGGAAGUUAUGAAUGUGUCUGUGUGUUCCUGUGGUCAGGACGCGUUGCCGUCCUUACGACGUUUUUUCUUUAAAGAUAAGCCAAGGAGGAGGUCAGUGGAGCAAUUAGAACAUCAGUAGCCAGGAGCAAAUGGUAGGAAAGAGGAUGAUUUAAGUGACCCGGUCACAGGCCCAAAACAAGUUAAACUACCCCAGUAUUUCCUUGACCGUUUUGGAUUGCAAAAUUUAAAGAAACACACUAAACAAGACAGAGACAGCAACAGAAGAAUAGGAUAGGAUGGAGAGACACCAGAAGAACAGAACAAGCCAUAAACAGAAGAGGAUAGACAAAGGAGACGGUAACAGACAAGACACAGACAGCAACAGACAAGACACAUAGAAAGUAACAGAAGAGGGCAGGUGGAUUGAGCACACAGUAGACUGUAUCACUUCAAGCUGCUCAAUAGAAUAUAAUUUGUUUAAUUUAUUUUCAUAAAUUAUAAGAAGUGAAAUACAGACAGUGAAAAAAUAAAACAUGGCUUACAAAAAAUGUAAGGUGAAAAUCAUGUGAAAUUACUAUUAAGACAUUAGUGUGUGUGUGUGUGAGGGUGUUUGGGUACUUUGGGUGUCACGGAUCCCUCCGGAACGUUCAUUACACACACCUGCCCCCUAUUCGCAGUGGUUAGUAAUUGUAUAAGUGUGCCCUUGGUUUAUAAGUGUCCUGACAAUUAUUGUUACAAUGUCAGUUGGUUCGUGUGAGUACCUGUGCUGUGUGUUUUGGCUUUCGUGCCAUUGUGAAUUGCGCACAUAAUUACGGGUCUCAUUCCAUGUGUUAAUCUUUUUGCGCUUAUGAUAUCUAUUCAAGGUAUUCCUCGCUCUUUUUGGGGGGUUUCUACCCUGUGUUUUGUAUAGUGUUUGUUUGGUCUUUGUCCCCAUGUCUUUACACGGCACGUUAUAAUUUGGGUGUAAUAAAAAAAAACGUAUUACGCAUUCCUGCGCCUGUCUCCCGAAUUAUUCAUACCAGCGUGACAGUGGGACUUUAAUCAGUUUUGGCUCAGUGG
rnacentral:lncRNA from 1 species